UGGGGAAUAUUGCACAAUGGGCGAAAGCCUGAUGCAGCAACGCCGCGUGAGCGAUGAAGGCCUUCGGGUCGUAAAGCUCUGUCCUCAAGGAAGAUAAUGACGGUACUUGAGGAGGAAGCCCCGGCUAACUACGUGCCAGCAGCCGCGGUAAUACGUAGGGGGCUAGCGUUAUCCGGAAUUACUGGGCGUAAAGGGUGCGUAGGUGGUUUCUUAAGUCAGAGGUGAAAGGCUACGGCUCAACCGUAGUAAGCCUUUGAAACUGGGAAACUUGAGUGCAGGAGAGGAGAGUGGAAUUCCUAGUGUAGCGGUGAAAUGCGUAGAUAUUAGGAGGAACACCAGUUGCGAAGGCGGCUCUCUGGACUGUAACUGACACUGAGGCACGAAAAGCGUGGGGAGCAAAACAGGAUUAGAUACCCUGGUAGUCCGCGCCGUAAAACGAUGAAUACUAGCUGUGCGGAGGUUGAGCCCCUUCCCUGGUGGCGCAGCUAACGCAUUAAGUACUCCGCCUGGGAAGUACGCUCGCAAGAGUGAAACUCAAAGGAAUUGACGGGGUCAUAGCUGUUUCCU
rnacentral:rRNA from 1 species